rnacentral:rRNA from 1 species
AGCUCCAAUAGCGUAUAUUAAAGUUGUUGCGGUUAAAAAGCUCGUAGUUGGAUUUCUGCCGAGGGCGACCGGUCCACCUUCAUUGGUUUGGUACCUGGUUCGACCGAGGCUAAUCUUGAUUUUCGUUACACAUCACUUCAUUGUGGUUGUACGACUUUCAAGAACUUUACUUUGAGGAAAUUAGAGUGUUAAAAGCAGGCUCACGCUAUGAACAUAUUAGCAUGGAAUAAUAGGAUACGACUUCGGUUAUAUUUUGUUGGUUUCUAUUACUGAAGUAAUGAUUAAUAGGGACAGUCGGGGGCAUUCGUAUUUAACAGUCAGAGGUGAAAUUCUUGGAUUUGUUAAAGACGAACUACUGCGAAAGCAUUUGCCAAGGAUGUUUUCAUUGAUCAAGAACGAA